rnacentral:rRNA from 1 species
GACGAACGCUGGCGGCGUGCUUAACACAUGCAAGUCGAACGGAAAGGCCCCUUUUGGGGUCCUCGAGUGGCGAACGGGUGAGUAACACGUUAGUAACCUGCCCUUGACUUCGGGAUAACUUCAGGAAACUGGGGCUAAUACCGGAUAGGAAUCCUUGCUGCAUGGUGGGGGUUGGAAAGCUUCGGCGGUUUUGGAUGGACUCGCGGCUUAUCAGCUUGUUGGUGGGGUAGUGGCUUACCAAGGCUUUGACGGGUAGCCGGCCAGAGAGGGCGACCGGCCACAUUGGGACUGAGAGACGGCCCAGACCCCGACGGGAGGCAGAAGUGGGGAAUAGUGAACAAUGAGCGGAAGCCUGAUGCAGCAACGCCGCGUGCGGGAUGACGGCAUUCGGGUUGAAAACCGCUUUCAGCAGGGGCGAAGCUUGUGGUGACGGUACCUGCAGAAGAAGCACCGGCUAACUACGUG